GCCACGGUCCAUGCCAUCCUAAACAAAUGUGAUGUUUGAUCUCAGAAGCUAAGCAAGGUCGGGCCUGGUUAGUACUUGGAUGAGAGACCACCUAGGAAGACCAGGUGCUGUAGGCA
rnacentral:rRNA from 1 species